rnacentral:lncRNA from 1 species
ACUCCUGGAGAAAUGGUGGGCGGUCCAAACGGUGAGCAGCACGCUCCUUACUUAGGUCAUGACCUCUGCCGACUAAAAAGGCUAAACUCAGCGUGGAUUAGGGCUAUACCAGGAACAACUGACUUUCCUCUAGAGGAUUUGAACUGGAGGAGGCUUGAAGUUGAACAAUGGAACUCUCAGUACCAACUUCCCUUUACAGUCUGAUCUCAGAAAUCUGACAGCCAGUUGUAUUCCCCCAGACCCUCUACCUUCACCUGUACUGAGGUUGUCCCACAUGGCAGUUUCAGGCGCAAUUCUUCUGGAGAUGACAAAGGGCAGGAAGGUGCUUCAGAUUCAUGUUUCCAUGUGAUGUUUUUCUUCCAUCUGAAAAACUACUUUUUGUGAGAGGAAGACAUGAUGGCAGGUCUAGCUGUCAAGCUGCUUGGAUGGCCUUGGAGUCAGG